UACGGGGGGGGCAAGCGUUGUUCGGAAUUACUGGGCGUAAAGGGUCUGUAGGUGGCUUGCUAAGUCAGACGUGAAAUCCCUCAGCUUAACUGGGGAACUGCGUCUGAGACUGGCGAGCUUGAGGGCAGGAGAGGAACGCGGAAUUCCAGGUGUAGCGGUGAAAUGCGUAGAUAUCAGGAAGAACACCCGUGGCUAAGGCGGUUCUCUAGUACGGUACUGACGCUGAGACGCGAAAGCGUGGGGAGCGAACAGG
rnacentral:rRNA from 1 species